rnacentral:rRNA from 1 species
CCGGAGAGGGAGCCUGAGAAACGGCUACCACAUCCAAGGAUGGCAGCAGGCGCGCAAAUUACCCAAUCCCGACACGGGGAGGUAGUGACAAUAAAUAACAAUACGGGGUUCUUUAGGAUCUCGUAAUUGGAAUGAGUACAAUUUAAAUCUCUUAACGAGGAACAAUUGGAGGGCAAGUCUGGUGCCAGCAGCCGCGGUAAUUCCAGCUCCAAUAGCGUAUAUUAAAGUUGUUGCAGUUAAAAAGCUCGUAGUUGAAUUUCGGGGUUAGUAGGUUGGUCAUGCCUCUGGUAUGUACUGGUCUCACUGAUUCCUCCUUCCUUAUGAACCGUAAUGCCAUUAAUUUGGUGUUGCGGGGAAUUUGGACUGUUACUUUGAAAAAAUUAGAGUGUUUAAAGCAAGCUAACGCUUGAAUACAUUAGCAUGGAAUAAUGAAAUAGGACGUUCGAUCUUAUUUUGUUGGUUUCUAGGAUUGACGUAAUGAUUAAUAGGGAUAGUUGGGGGCAUUAGUAUUCAAUUGUCAGAGGUGAAAUUCUUGGAUUUAUUGAAGACUAACUACUGCGAAAGCAUUUGCCAAGGAUGUUUUNNNUAAUCAAGAACGAAAGUUAGGGGAUCGA